rnacentral:rRNA from 1 species
AUGGCGACCGGCGGACGGGUGCGUAACGCGUAUGUAACUUACCUAUAUCUGGAAGAUAACUCAAAGAAAUUUGCGCUAAUACUCCAUAGUAUGAUUUUAUCGCAUGAUAGAAUUAUUAAAGCUCCGGCGGAUAUAGAUAGGCAUGCGUCCUAUUAGUUAGUUGGUAAGGUAACGGCUUACCAAGACUACGAUAGGUAGGGGGCCUGAGAGGGUGAACCCCCACACUGGUACUGAGACACGGACCAGACUCCUACGGGAGGCAGCAGUGAGGAAUAUUGGUCAAUGGAGGCAACUCUGAACCAGCCAUCCCGCGUGAAGGAUUGAAGGCGCUCGACGUCGUAAACUUCUUUUAUAUAGGAAUAAACCUGAGUACGUGUACUCAGCUGAAGGUACUAUAUGAAUAAGCA